GGGUCUAUACGUAUUUCCUUGAUACACCAGAGGUUAUUUUAAGUCGUUUGAUGCAGGUUCUGUACGCAUUUUGUUGAUACACUAGAGGUUCUUAUAAGUCGUUUGAUGCAGGUUUCUGAAAAUGGACAGCAACAGAAUAUCGGGAUUGCGACCCAACGGCU